UACGUAGGGUGCGAGCGUUAAUCGGAAUUACUGGGCGUAAAGCGUGCGCAGGCGGUUUUGUAAGCCAGAUGUGAAAUCCCCGGGCUCAACCUGGGAAUGGCAUUUGGGACUGCAAGGCUGGAGUACGGCAGAGGAGACUGGAAUUCCUGGUGUAGCAGUGAAAUGCGUAGAUAUCAGGAGGAAUACCGAUGGCGAAGGCAGGUCUCUGGGCUGAUACUGACGCUGAGGCACGAAAGCGUGGGGAGCAAACAGG
rnacentral:rRNA from 1 species